rnacentral:rRNA from 1 species
AAUCAACGCUGGCGGCGUGCCUCAGACAUGCAAGUCGAACGAUUAAAGCUCUCUUCGGAGAGUGUAUAGAGUGGCGCACGGGUGAGUAACACGUGAGUAAUCUACCCUCGAGUGGGGAAUAACGUCCGGAACGGACGCUAAUACCGCAUAAUGCAGCGGCACCGCAAGGUGACAGUUGUUAAAGGAGAAAUUCGCUUGAGGAGGAGCUUGCGGCAGAUUAGCUUGUUGGUAAGGUAACGGCUUACCAAGGCUACGAUCUGUAACCGGUCUUAGAGGACGGUCGGUCACACUGACACUGAAUAACGGGUCAGACUCCUACGGGA